CCUACGGGGGGCAGCAGUCGAGAAUCAUUCACAAUGGGGGAAACCCUGAUGGUGCGACGCCGCGUGGGGGAAUGAAGGUCUUCGGAUUGUAAACCUCUGUCAUGUGGGAGCAAAUUAAAAAGAUAGUACCACAAGAGGAAGAGACGGCUAACUCUGUGCCAGCAGCCGCGGUAAUACAGAGGUCUCAAGCGUUGUUCGGAAUCACUGGGCGUAAAGGGUGCGUAGGCUGUUUCGUAAGUCGUGUGUGAAAGGCGCGGGCUCAACCGGCGGAUGGCAGAUGAUACUGGGAGACUAGAGUACUGGAGGGGGAACCGGAAUUCGCGGUGUAGCAGUGAAAUGCGUAGAUAUCGCGAAGAACACUGGUGGCGAAGGCAGGUUACUGGACAUUAACUGACGCUGAGGCACGAAGGCGAGGGGAGCGAAAGGGAUUAGAUACCCUUGUAGUC
rnacentral:rRNA from 1 species